UGAGACCGGCGCACGGGUGCGUAACGCGUAUGCAAUCUACCUUUUACAAAGGGAUAGCCCAGAGAAAUUUGGAUUAAUACCUUAUAGUAUUAAGUUUUGGCAUCAAGAUUUAAUUAAAGAUUUAUCGGUAAAAGAUGAGCAUGCGUCCCAUUAGUUAGUUGGUAAGGUAACGGCUUACCAAGACUUCGAUGGGUAGGGGUCCUGAGAGGGAGAUCCCCCACACUGGUACUGAGACACGGACCAGACUCCUACGGGAGGCAGCAGUGAGGAAUAUUGGUCAAUGGACGCAAGUCUGAACCAGCCAUGCCGCGUGCAGGAUGACGGUCCUAUGGAUUGUAAACUGCUUUUAUACGGGAAGAAACCCUGGCUCGUGAGCCAGACUGACGGUACCGUAAGAAUAAGGAUCGGCUAACUCCGUGCCAGCAGCCGCGGUAAUACGGAGGAUCCAAGCGUUAUCCGGAAUCAUUGGGUUUAAAGGGUCCGUAGGCGGCCCUGUAAGUCAGCGGUGAAAUCUCCCGGCUCAACCGGGAAAUGGCCGUUGAUACUGCAGGGCUUGAAUUAGUAGGAAGUAACUAGAAUAUGUAGUGUAGCGGUGAAAUGCUUAGAGAUUACAUGGAAUACCAAUUGCGAAGGCAGGUUACUACUACUAUAUUGACGCUGAGGGACGAAAGCGUGGGUAGCGAACAGGAUUAGAUACCCUGGUAGUCCACGCCGUAAACGAUGGAUACUAGCUGUUGGGUUGCAAGACUCAGUGGCUA
rnacentral:rRNA from 1 species